GGAAAAGAAACCAACAGGGAUUGCCCCAGUAACGGCGAGUGAAGCGGCAACAGCUCAAAUUUGAAAUCUGGUCCCUAGGGCCCGAGUUGUAAUUUGUAGAGGAUGCUUUUGGCAAGGUGCCUUCCGAGUUCCCUGGAACGGGACGCCAUAGAGGGUGAGAGCCCCGUCUGGUCGGAUACCGCGCCUCUGUAAAGCUCCUUCGACGAGUCGAGUAGUUUGGGAAUGCUGCUCAAAAUGGGAGGUAUAUGUCUUCUAAAGCUAAAUAUUGGCCAGAGACCGAUAGCGCACAAGUAGAGUGAUCGAAAGAUGAAAAGCACUUUGAAAAGAGGGUUAAAAAGUACGUGAAAUUGUUGAAAGGGAAGCGCCUAUGACCAGACUUGGGCCCGGUGAAUCAUCCAGCGUUCUCGCUGGUGCACUUUGCCGGGCACAGGCCAGCAUCAGUUUGGCUUGGGGGAAAAAGGCUUAGGGAACGUAGCUCCUCGGAGUGUUAUAGACCUUUGCAUAAUACCCUGGGCUGGACUGAGGUUCGCGCAUCUGCAAGGAUGCUGGCGUAAUGGUCAUCAGCG
rnacentral:rRNA from 1 species